rnacentral:rRNA from 1 species
GGGGGGGGGGGGGGGGGGGGGGGGGGGGGGGGGGGCGGGCGGGGGGGUCGGGGGGGGUGGCGCGCGGGUGGGGGGCGCGUGGGGACCUGCCCUUAGGUUCGGAAUCACUCCCCGACAGGGGUGGUAGUACCGGGUAAUGUCUUCGGACCCAAGGUUUAUCGCCUUUGGAUGGGCCCGCGUUGGAUUAGCUAGUUGGUAGGGUAAAAGCCUACCAAGGCGACGAUCCAUAGCUGGUCUGAGAGGAUGAUCAGCCACACUGGGACUGAGACACGGCCCAGACUCCUACGGGAGGCAGCAGUGGGGAAUAUUGGACAAUGGGCGAAAGCCUGAUCCAGCAAUGCCGCGUGAGUGAUGAAGGCCUUAGGGUUGUAAAGCUCUUUUACCCGGGAUGAUAAUGACAGUACCGGGAGAAUAAGCUCCGGCUAACUCCGUG